rnacentral:rRNA from 1 species
CGGACGGGUGAGUAACACGUGGAUAACCUACCUAUAAGACUGGGAUAACUUCGGGAAACCGGAGCUAAUACCGGAUAAUAUAUUGAACCGCAUGGUUCAAUGUGAAAGACGGUUUUGCUGUCACUUAUAGAUGGAUCCGCGCCGCAUUAGCUAGUUGGUAAGGUAACGGCUUACCAAGGCAACGAUGCGUAGCCGACCUGAGAGGGUGAUCGGCCACACUGGAACUGAGACACGGUCCAGACUCCUACGGGAGGCAGCAGC